GGUUAUGGCUCAGUGGUAGAGUGCUUGCCUAGCAUGCAUGAGGCACUGGGUUCAAUCUCCAGCACCA
rnacentral:tRNA from 2 species